GCAUCGGUGGUUCAGCGGUAAAAUGCUCGCCUGCCACACGGGCGGCCCGGGUUCGAUUCCCGGCCGAUGCA
rnacentral:tRNA from 1 species